CAAUUGUCUGAUAAGCACUGUCUUUCAACUCCGUUUGUGAGUAUGACCAUUGUUUUAAUUUAUCUAAUAAAAUCCCUUUAAGUGAUAAUGCACUAGGUCGGUGCGCCCUUCUUUUUCUUUUCUUUUAUAGCUUUACGAAUUCCCGUGAUUCUGAGGAGGACUGCAAGAUUUUAGACUUUACACUGAAACUGGAUGACGUUGCCCUAUAGCAGGAAAAUACCAGAGCGCAGGAGAAUUUUUUGUGUGCUAUAUAAUUAGUC